AAAUAUCUUAAUAAAAUAAUUACCUAUUAAUCACAGAUAUGCCAAGACAUCUACCUACCCAUAUUCUUUUAACAGUUAAUUCAUUACAUACACCUGAAAGAAAUAAAACUUAGUUCUCUAAAAAUUAUACGCUAAAUCAGGCUUGUCACCAAUGGCAACUGUCUUCUAUUUUAAUUAUCCCAAAUAAGAAUGGGGUAUUACAUCUGAAUUUUUCUCCCCCAGCCAUUUAUUUCCUUAAAGGAAUAAGUUGAAGCCAGCACACUUGUUUAGAGGGAAUUCAUGUAUCUGAUGGCACUGCUUUUCAAACUUUUCUGCCAAGGCAGAAGAGAAUGAAGAGGACUUCCAGAGGCCAGAGGGUAUAACUCGUGUUUGCAAGGUUCUCCCUUGUAGCAUAGGUGCUCAAUUAAGAGUCUGGUAGGAGUGAGUAAAAGAGUGAAAAAAAUGAAUAAGCUAAUAACUAAUUUUCCUUGUAGAACAUUAUCUAAAUACAAUCUUGCUUAUAAUACUUUAAGGAUCAAAGAAUCUCCUUAUGGGCAAACACACCUUAUUUACAUGUCUCUCUGGGAGUUCAUCAGUAACUCCCAGAAGCAGGAGUUUUCUCAGUGGUCAAUCUUGCAUUUCCCAAAUGCCCUAGAACUUUUAAGGCAGAAGUGAUGAGAAACAUACCGGGAAGGGAACACCAGUGGUUUGAGUCUUUGUACAUUUGUCCUUGCAGUCAAGUCAUGCCUUGCAGAUUAGAAACCUGGAGGAGAAUCACGGACCUGGGCCUGGCUCGCCUGAAAGGUGUAGGGGUACGUGUGUGCGUGUGUGUGUAUAUGUGUGUGUGUGUGUACUUUGAAUUUUCGUUUAUACAAAUUAGCUUGAAGCCAAAGACUCAAGACCUGAAAGAAACAGGCAAAACCUGAAAGUAGUUAGUCUCCAUGCAAAUAAAAAUCAGAACUAAAACGAACAUGAUUUUUUCCUUCCAAUAUUUCUGGAAUCCCAGUAGGUCUGUUGAAAAUGGAGUAGGCCAGGUAAAUUAGAUUCUUUAUUAACAAGGCUGGAUUAAGGCAAUCUGAAAGUGGGUUUAAGAAGCUGCUGCUUCUCCUAAAUGGAAGGAAAAGCUUGCUUCUGCCCAUUCUUCUUCAACUAUGAUGGAACAGAAAUCAGAUGCUUCUUGAGGGCCAUAAUGCUCAGCAAAGAAGUGUCUUUCAGUGAACCCUGACCACAAGCUGGAGGCCUGGACAAUGCUCUGGGCAGCAUAAUAUUUCUCUGCUUGGAGGUGCUUCUCUUUAUGUUCAGGGUCUAGCUUGUAACAUAGACAGAGCUACCACUGUGAGGUUAUCUGCAAAAGACCCUCCUGCCCAUUGCUUCAUUCAGUCAUUCAAAGAUAUUUAUUGAGAGCCUACCAUUGGUCUAGGCUCUUGCCUGGUAGGUUCAAAGCUGAGUCCAAUAAGAGAAGAACACAGAAAAGAACCACUCACUUAUUGUGAUUUGAUCUCAGAAUAUAACAGGAAGGAACUAAACUCUUCCAUCCCCCCUCUACCCCUGACCUCACCUCCAACUAGCAUAUGACUCAAUGUCUGAUGGUAAUACUUCAUCUCAUUAGCUAAAAGUCAGGUUUCCUGCUGCAGUGCACUUAGCUGCAUCAGUCAUUUCCCCCUCAUGUUGCAGCGGUUCCCCAUCAUUCCAAAAGCAAGAUUUGACAGGGGUGGAAUGGAAGAAAUCUGAAGAGGUUUGGGAACCUCUCUGGGAAUGCAAGGGAGUGGGAAAAAGAGGAAAGGCUGGCCCAUCAAGGGAAAGAAAGGAAUGAAGCCUGCCGGCGGGAGUAAAGAACACCAAGAACAAACUGCUAGCUUUAACAAUUUUGCCAAUGAUUGACUUGACAAUAGAGUCCAGAGCCAGGAAAUAGGUUGGGGCAGCAAGGCACCCGAGCAAGGAAGGGGUAUCUACAGGGGAGAUAAGACAGGAAAGCACAUGGAGGAUACUGCAAGUCAAGUUCAUCUGCUCAAAAUUUAUGUCGUUGCCCCUAAUUUUCUUUACAGUAACUGUAAUUCAGACCACCAAGAAACCGCCCUUGCCAAGAUCUCUUUUCUAGUCUGAAGACCACUUGGGACUGCAGGAAGGCACAUGGGAAUCCUGUUUGCAUCUGAUCUGCUCACUGCAAUAUAACACGUGCAUAAAACAGUGCAACCGUAUUUGUUUUAAUAAGGCCAUUCUGAGCAGCUGUUUAAUGAUCCAUGAUGUUAAAUGAAAACUACAGGUGUUCCAAAUGCAAACCUUAUGGCCCAGGGCCCCCCUUAUUACCGUUCUACAAUUAGCAGCCAACUGCUCUUAGGCUGUGCAAAGAAUUACCACCAUCAUCAUUACAUUAUUUCUUAAUUUCAUUCUCUGCCUAAGUGUCUUCCCCCAAAGGAAAAACCUGCUUGGCAUGGGAAAGCAUAAGAGUGAAAAAAUGAAAAGGGAAGGAGAACACAAAACACUCCCUGUCCAACCACAAGGAGGCCUCAGUGAAGGGGGAAAGAGCCAGCCAAAAGGCUCAGCCCCCUAAGGAAUCUUCCAGAGUGACUUUCUGGCCAAACUUAACAAAGUCUUGCUGAAACUAUUGGUGUUCAUAAGGAUUGCAUUAACCCUUUCUUCUUCAUGAUUCCCUAAGCUUAAUACUGUGCUAAGCCAAAUUGCCAGAAAGCUGCAUAGCUGGAUUCCAUCGCUCUGUCUUGUAGAGGGCUAAUUUUAUGCAAGUAUAAUUUUAACAUCACAACAGUUUUCACUUAAGGUACAUAUAAUAAACUGCAAAGAAGGAAGUCUUCUGUAUCACUUGUGAAAUUGCUGUCUGUAUCAUUAUCCAUUACAUACCUCAAUACCUCUUACAUAAAAAUGCCAGAGACAAAUUUAAUUAGAGCUCGGGAACAAGUUUAUCUUUCCAUGUCAAUGGGUACACUUUUUUCUGCAAAACUAGUAAUUCUCAAUUCUGGCUGCAUAUUAGAAUCACCUAAUAGUAAACACAUUUAUUUGCAUCCCAGCUCCUUCCCAGACCAUUUAAAUUCAAAUUUCUAGGAGUGGGCACUGGGCAGGACCAUCGAGUUGCAGUUCCAGGGGUCACCAUUCACAAUGUGCUUGGCCAAAUUACAGUAUUAUACUCUGCUGCCAAAAUUGAGAACCACUGCCCCAGAAAAUGAGAGUUUUAUAACUCACUGAUUUUGCUUCUUCAUUUUGGUUACUAAGAAGCUCAAAACUAAUUAUACUGAAUUGCAGUUUUCCUCUGCCAAAAUUUCUCAAUACAAUUUUCCCUCUGCAUCCCCUCAUAUUAAUGCUUUUACCAGUACUUUCAGUGUAAGCUACCAAAUAUUCUUUUUGUAGGUAAAGUAAAAUAAAACAAUAAAUAAAAUAAAGAUCUAUUGGGAGGCACAAGUAGAUCUAUAUACAAAUUUAUAUACAAAUCUCCCAUAAUCACCCCAAACGUAAGAUGGCCAAAGAUGGGCCGGGCGCAGUGGCUCAUGCCUGUAAUCCCCAGCACUUUGGAAUGCCAAGAUGGGCAGAUCAUGAGGUCAGGAGUUCGAGACCAGCCUGGUCAACAUGGUGAAACCCCUGUCUCUACUAAAAAUACCAAAAAAAAAAAAAUUACCCGGGUGUGGUGGCACAUGCCUGUAAUCUCAGAUACUUGGGAGGUUGAGGCAGGAGAAUCGCUUGAAACCAGAAGGCGGAGGUUGCAGUGAGCUGAGAUCGCACCACUGCACUCCAGCCUGGGCAAUAAGAAUGAAACUCCAUCUCCAAA
rnacentral:lncRNA from 10 species